GACGAACGCUGGCGGCGUGCUUAACACAUGCAAGUCGAACGGUGAAGCGCCUUCCUUUUUGGUGGGUGUGGAUGAGUGGCGAACGGGUGAGUAACACGUGAGUAACCUGCCCCCUUCUUCUGGAUAACCGCAUGAAAGUGUGGCUAAUACGGGAUAUUCUGGGUCUGUCGCAUGAUGGGUCUGGGAAAGAUAUUGUUUCGGUGGGGGAUGGGCUCGCGGCCUAUCAGCUUGUUGGUGGGGUGAUGGCCUACCAAGGCGGUGACGGGUAGUCGGCCUGAGAGGGUGGACGGUCACACUGGGACUGAGACACGGCCCAGACUCCUACGGGAGGCAGCAGUGGGGAAUAUUGCACAAUGGGCGCAAGCCUGAUGCAGCGACGCCGCGUGAGGGAUGGAGGCCUUCGGGUUGUGAACCUCUUUCGCCAGUGAAGCAGGCCUGCCUCGUUUGUGGGUGGGUUGACGGUAGCUGGAUAAGAAGCGCCGGCUAACUACGUG
rnacentral:rRNA from 1 species